rnacentral:rRNA from 1 species
UACGUAGGGUGCGGAGCGUUAAUUCGGAAUUACGUGGGCGUAAAGAGUGUGUAGGCGGUGCUCUAAGUUCGGUUGUGAAAAUCUCCUGGCUCAACUGGGAGGUGCGCCGGAAACUGGAGUGCUUGAGGCGUGGAGAGGAAAGCGGAAUUCCUGGUGUAGCGGUGAAAUGCGUAGAUAUCAGGAGGAACACCUGUGGUGUAGACGGCUUUCUGGACCAUAGCUGACGCUGAGACACGAAAGCGUGGGUAGCAAACAGG